UUAACUGAAACCAAAAUAGAGGUGUAUCACUGUUAAUGAUAUUAUUGAAACAUCUUCCAGUUAAA
rnacentral:tRNA from 1 species